rnacentral:RNase_P_RNA from 1 species
GCGAGUUGGAUAGCUCACUUCGGAAUUCAGCAGUUAAAUCUGCAAGUUUCAAUUUAAGAUGGAAACGAAUUCUGAGGAAGGUCCGCACACUAUAAAAUUCCAUCUGCGAAAGCAGGCUGUCGUGAGGCAGGGCACUGUCCUAAAAAUUUCUUUGAGAAAUUUUGGGACAGAUAAUUUCCAAAAGGAAAUUACUGGUAUAGAAACGGGACACUCUUUAAUCAAUAAAGAGAAACAGCUGGAACGAGCAUCCUGGAAAGUGCAACCUCUUUGAAGGGCAUAGUAUAAUGUGAGCACAUUUCGUUCGCGCCGAAGGCGCGAGAAAUGACAGAAUGUGGCCUAUUUCUGACUCGC